rnacentral:rRNA from 1 species
UACGUAGGUAGCAAGCGUUGUCCGGAUUUACUGGGCGUAAAGAGCGCGCAGGCGGUCGUGCAAGUCGCGUGUGAAAGCCCCCGGCUCAACUGGGGAGGGUCACGCGAUACUGCUCGACUCGAAGGCAGGAGAGGGAAGCGGAAUUCCCGGUGUAGUGGUGAAAUGCGUAGAUAUCGGGAGGAACACCAGUGGCGAAGGCGGCUUCCUGGCCUGUUCUUGACGCUGAGGCGCGAAAGCUAGGGGAGCAAACGGG